rnacentral:misc_RNA from 1 species
UCUCCGUAGGUGAACCUGCGGAGGGAUCAUUACCGAGCUCAUGCCCUUACGGGUAGAUCUCCCACCCUGUGUUAUUACUACCUUUGUUGCUUUGGCGGGCCGCCAGGCUCCGGUCAGGCUAUCGGCUUCGGCUGGUAAGCGCCCGCCAGAGGACCCUAUAUCCUGAUUAUUAGUGUCGUCUGAGUACUAUAUAAUAGUUAAAACUUUCAACAACGGAUCUCUUGGUUCUG